UGAGUAACCUGCCCUUGACUCUGGGAUAAGCCUGGGAAACCGGGUCUAAUACUGGAUACGACCUAUCACCGCAUGGUGUGUGGGUGGAAAGAUUUAUUGGUUUUGGAUGGACUCGCGGCCUAUCAGCUUGUUGGUGGGGUAAUGGCUUACCAAGGCGACGACGGGUAGCCGGCCUGAGAGGGUGACCGGCCACACUGGGACUGAGACACGGCCCAGACUCCUACGGGAGGCAGCAGUGGGGAAUAUUGCACAAUGGGCGCAAGCCUGAUGCAGCGACGCCGCGUGAGGGAUGAAGGCCUUCGGGUUGUAAACCUCUUUCAGUAGGGAAGAAGCGAAAGUGACGGUACCUGCAGAAGAAGCGCCGGCUAACUACGUGCCAGCAGCCGCGGUAAUACGUAGGGCGCAAGCGUUAUCCGGAAUUAUUGGGCGUAAAGAGCUCGUAGGCGGUUUGUCGCGUCUGCCGUGAAAGUCCGGGGCUUAACCCCGGAUCUGCGGUGGGUACGGGCAGACUAGAGUGCAGUAGGGGAGACUGGAAUUCCUGGUGUAGCGGUGAAAUGCGCAGAUAUCAGGAGGAACACCGAUGGCGAAGGCAGGUCUCUGGGCUGUAACUGACGCUGAGGAGCGAAAGCAUGGGGAGCGAACAGGAUUAGAUACCCUGGUAGUCCAUGCCGUAAACGUUGGGCACUAGGUGUGGGGGACAUUCCACGUUUUCCGCGCCGUAGCUAACGCAUUAAGUGCCCCGCCUGGGGAGUACGGCCGCAAGGCUAAAACUCAAAGGAAUUGACGGGGGCCCGCACAAGCGGCGGAGCAUGCGGAUUAAUUCGAUGCAACGCGAAGAACCUUACCAAGGCUUGACAUGAACCGGAACAGUGCAGAGAUGUGCUGGCCGCUUGCGGCCGGUUUACAGGUGGUGCAUGGUUGUCGUCAGCUCGUGUCGUGAGAUGUUGGGUUAAGUCCCGCAACGAGCGCAACCCUCGUUCCAUGUUGCCAGCGGGUUAUGCCGGGGACUCAUGGGAGACUGCCGGGGUCAACUCGGAGGAAGGUGGGGACGACGUCAAAUCAUCAUGCCCCUUAUGUCUUGGGCUUCACGCAUGCUACAAUGGCCGGUACAAAGGGUUGCGAUACUGUGAGGUGGAGCUAAUCCCAAAAAGCCGGUCUCAGUUCGGAUUGAGGUCUGCAACUCGACCUCAUGAAGUCGGAGUCGCUAGUAAUCGCAGAUCAGCAACGCUGCGGUGAAUACGUUCCCGGGCCUUGUACACACCGCCC
rnacentral:rRNA from 1 species